rnacentral:rRNA from 1 species
CCUAGGGGAGGCAGCAGUGGGGGAUAUUGCACAAUGGGGGGAACCCUGAUGCAGCGACGCCGCGUGGGUGAAGAAGCGCCUCGGCGCGUAAAACCCUGUCAGCCGGGGAGAAAAUGCAGGUACCUGAAGACGAAGCCCCGGCUAACUACGUCACAGCAGCCGCGGUACUACGUAGGGGGCAAGCGUGAUCCGGAUUUACUGGGUGUAAAGGGGACGCAGACGGCGAUGCAAGCCAGGAGUGAAAGCCCGGGGCCUAACCCCGGGACUGCUCUUGAAACUGCGUGGCUGGAGUGCAGGAGGGGCAGGCGGAAUUCCUGGUGUAGCGGUGAAAUGCGUAGAUAUCAGGAGGAACACCGGUGGCGAAGGCGGCCUGCUGGACUGCAACUGACGUUGAGGCCCGAAAGCGUGGGGAGCAAACAGGAUUAGAUACCCUUGUAGUC